GAUGAACGCUGGCGGCGUGCCUAAUACAUGCAAGUCGAGCGAACAGACGAGGAGCUUGCUCCUCUGACGUUGGCGGCGGACGGGUGAGUAACACGUGGAUAACCUACCUAUAAGACUGGGAUAACUUCGGGAAACCGGAGCUAAUACCGGAUAAUAUAUUGAACCGCAUGGUUCAAUAGUGAAAGACGGUUUUGCUGUCACUUAUAGAUGGAUCCGCGCCGCAUUAGCUAGUUGGUAAGGUAACGGCUUACCAAGGCAACGAUGCGUAGCCGACCUGAGAGGGUGAUCGGCCACACUGGAACUGAGACACGGUCCAGACUCCUACGGGAGGCAGCAGUAGGGAAUCUUCCGCAAUGGGUGAAAGCCUGACGGAGCAACGCCGCGUGAGUGAUGAAGGUCUUCGGAUCGUAAAACGCUGUUAUUAGGGAAGAACAAAUGUGUAAGUAACUAUGCACGUCUUGACGGUACCUAAUCAGAAAGCCACGGCUAACUACGUG
rnacentral:rRNA from 1 species